GAUUCACUCUUGUCCAUUGUGCAGGUACAACUUAAUCCCUGUAAUUUAACUAGUAGCAUGUUUCUUCAAUUGGAUGUAUUGAACUUAAGAAAAAUCCAUUAUCUUCUGGUCUUUAUGUCUUAAUUGCUAUCUGAGAUUUGGUGGGAUUCUUUUCUUUUGUGACAUUGUUCUCUGAUUUGUCUGUGCCUUUUCAUGACGCCUCUCAUAUAUUAUCAUGCAGAUGCCAAGGGGUGUUCCAG
rnacentral:misc_RNA from 1 species